UGCGUGUGUUGGGGGGGAAGACGGUAAACAAUUCCCAGAAAAGGAAGAAGGCUUCACAGACAGAAACAAUCAGUGUCCACUUCUAGAGACGAGUGUUCACAUUACCAGCCAACCGCUCUGUACCAAGUGUCUGUUCUGCUCAAGUAACAAAGCAUCCAGAACCAAUUAUUACUAAUUUGAGUUGAGUAAAAUAUCAUUCUAACAAUAACAAAAGAACAGCCCAAUUUAAAAAAUGGACAAAAGGCUUAAAGACAAUUCUCCAAAGAAUCUAUACAAAUGAAGACUGAACCGAUGAAAAUAUGUUCCACCUCACUAAUAAUGAGGCAGCAAAGACCGGAUUCGCACCAAUUUGAACAGGUUUCAUUUAAGAGAAGGAGAAGAGAAGGAAGAUGAGAAAGGACAAAGCAGGUAUAAGGGAGUAGAGAACUGGAUCCCUCGUGUGUUGCUGAUGAGAAUGUAAGACAAUGCAGCAAUGUAGGGAGCAGUUUGGCAGGUCUUCAAAGCCGUAAACAUAGAGCUGCUAUAAGAUCCCUCCGUUUCACCCCUGGCUGUAUACCUAAGGGAACCAAAAGCCCAGACUCCAACAGUCAACCCAGCCGCACUGUCAAAUGAUGUUGACAUCUGAGUGCCCAUCAGUCGCUGUAGACAAGCACAGCGUGGUAAGGCCGGCUGUACACAGCAAUACCAAUGGACUUUAAAGACAUCACAUGAAGAGAAAUAAGCCCGUUGCAAAUCGUGGACAAAUGAUGUGUAGUUGCAUUUGUAGAAGCUGCCUUGAAGAGUCAGAUUCCUAGAAAAUAGAAUGGUGGCCGCCAAGAGCUGGAGGCAGGGGAGAGCGUUGCAUUUGUACUCAUUUCGUGUGAGUGCAGGUGUGUAUUUGGGUGCAAAUAAAAGCCAAGGG